rnacentral:piRNA from 1 species
UUUGCAGGGAAAACACUUCAGCAUGGU